GAAUUGCAGGCUGCAACUCGCCUGCAUGAAGUCGGAAUUGCUAGUAAUCGCAGAUCAGCAUGCUGCGGUGAAUACGUUCCCGGGCCUUGUACACACCGCCCGUCACACCAUGGGAGUCGGUAACACCCGAAGUCGGUAGCCUAACCGUAAGGAGGGCGCCGCCGAAGGUGGGAUUGAUGACUGGGGUGAAGUCGUAACAAGGUACC
rnacentral:rRNA from 1 species